CCUACGGGUGGCAGCAGUCGAGAAUCAUUCACAAUGGGGGAAACCCUGAUGGGGCGACGCCGCGUGGGGGAAUGAAGGUCUGCGGAUUGUAAACCCCUGUCAUGUGGGAGCAAAUUAAAAAGAUAGUACCACAAGAGGAAGAGACGGCUAACUCGGUGCCAGCAGCCGCGGGAAUACAGAGGUCUCAAGCGUUGUUCGGAAUCACUGGGCGUAAAGCGUGCGUAGGCUGUUUCGUAAGUCGUGUGUGAAAGGCGCGGGCUCAACCCGCGGACGGCACCUGAUACUGAGAGACUAGCGUAAUGGAGGGGGCACCGGAAUUCUCGGUGUCGCCGU
rnacentral:rRNA from 1 species